GGUUGGACAAAUAUUUAUUUGUUUUCAAGAUGAUAAUAUGACUUUUGGGGUGGAAAGUC
rnacentral:ncRNA from 24 species